rnacentral:rRNA from 1 species
GACGAACCACACAAACGUUUAUUCGGAAUUACUGGGCUUAAAGGGUGCGUAGGCGGCGCAGAAAGUAGGGUGUGAAAUCCCUCGGCUCAACCGAGGAACUGCGCCCUAAACUACUGUGCUCGAGGGAGGUAGAGGUGAGCGGAACUUUAGGGGUGGAGCGGUGAAAAUGCGUUGAUAUCCUAAGGAACACCGGUGGCGAAAGCGGCUCACUGGACUCUUCUGACGCUGAGGCACGAAAGCUAGGGUAGCGAACGGG